rnacentral:rRNA from 1 species
GUAGGUGGCAAGCGUUGUCCGGAAUUAUUGGGCGUAAAGCGCGCGCAGGCGGUUCUUUAAGUCGGAUGUGAAAGCCCACGGCUCAACCGUGGAGGGUCAUUGGAAACUGGAGAACUUGAGUACAGAAGAGGAAAGCGGAAUUCCACGUGUAGCGGUGAAAUGCGUAGAGAUGUGGAGGAACACCAGUGGCGAAGGCGGCUUUCUGGUCUGUAACUGACGCUGAGGCGCGAAAGCGUGGGGAGCAAACAGGAUUAGAUACCCUGGUAGUCCACGCCGUAAACGAUGAGUGCUAAGUGUUAGGGGGUUUCCGCCCCCCUUAGUGCUGCAGCUAACGCAUUAAGCACUCCGCCUGGGAUACGGCCGCAAGGCUG